UACGUAGGGUGCGAGCGUUAAUCGGAAUUACUGGGCGUAAGCGUGCGCAGGCGGUUUGUAAGCCAGAUGUGAAAUCCCCGGGCUUAACCUGGGAAUGGCAUUGGGACUGCAAGGCUGGAGUGUGGCAGAGGGGGAUGGAAUUCCGCGUGAGCAGUGAAAUGCGUAGAGUAUGCGGAGGAACACCGAUGGCGAAGGCAAUCCCCUGGGCCUGCACUGACGCUCAUGCACGAAAGCGUGGGGAGC
rnacentral:rRNA from 1 species